rnacentral:lncRNA from 1 species
UAACAAGCGACGGGUCUGUUUCCCGUAAGCCCUCCACUCCUGUACUUAUUAACUUUUUAUGAGAGAAGUUAAUUUUUCUUUGUCCGUGUAGUUCUGCUUCUACCCCAGUAUUGGUGUUCACCCACUCGUGAGGUUGGUUAUCACACCAACGAAAAUUUUGGUGUCAGAAGUCGGAUAGCCGAGACUUGAAUGAAAUUUUCUGGCAAAAGGAAAUUUUAUUAUAUCCAGGAGAUCGAGUCUUCCAAAGGAGAAGAAUUAGGACUUGACAACACCGUUAGCAUGAGACGUCCCGGAUCGGGUCUUUCUGCCUAGUAGCUGAAACGAGUGACUACACUGAGGAAAACUACAGAGUGCCGCUAUAACGUAAAUAAUAAUGAAGGAACACCAAUAACCAUCUACCGAGGCAAGAACCAGGGUUCGAGAGAUUAGAUCCAGGAUGAACUUCACCGCACCUGUGUGAGGUUCUAGACAUUCGAGGGGUGCCGAAAAUAAUUCUGACACAAUUCAUGAGAUUUGCAGAGACUUUUCUUAUUCCUUCGUAAGUCCACCAUAAGCGACACAGCUGUAGUGAAGAGGGGAAAGAUUAAGGAAGAGACAAGAACCUUACGAGUGGUGAAAGGCAGAAGGAGCCAGGACCGGCGAAAUUGCAUCCAACACAGCGUAGGGAAAUUUGGAAAAUGUGUGGUUUCCAGGAAAAGUUUGGUCGAAGGUAACAUCAAGGUGUUUAACAAUGGAACAGAAAGAGAUAGGCUGGUUGAUGAUCGUGAAAGACUCCUUUGGCAGGGAUUUGCAGAGGUGACAAGGAGAGGACAGCUGGCAUACCGGGCCGUGUGGCAUCCAAUUUAUGCAAGAAGGCGGAUCCUCACAUUAUGUAUCAGUUGCGACUGCUUCUCUGGCACAUUUACAACCUCUUUCGGAGAAGUGCACCGCACAGAGAUGUGACCAGACCUCUGCCACUUGUAACAGCGCAUCAGUUCUGGAAUGUAUGGGCGAACUCGUAGCCUAUAGAAUGCGGCCUUUACCCUCUUGAGGGCAUAAUAGAGUGUCGAAAGUGAGGACGAGGCUCGCCGAGGGUAUGUUUGUCCGUCACGCCGCGCACACAAUCUUCUCUCCUCCAAUAUCCAUUUUCUAGGCGGUUUUUAGUCUAUUCGACGCUGCAGUCCACGAGGUCGUGGCAGAUCACCACCUACCUAGAAGUAUGCAACCUCGGUGGAGAGCAAAAUCGACUUCAUGGCCAUCUAGCGUUGUAAGUUUCUUUAUUCGGUCACUAAUUGCAGCGUGAUUUAUUCCAACAUAAAGUUUCCCAUCUCCUGUUUUGGUUGUGCUUUCGGUCCGACCAAUGCUUUCAUUUAUACUUUUCAACAAAAGGAAAGAACAUGUUGCUUUGAAGUCCCCGUCCAUCCGCGUGAUGACGUAUCUCAGAUCAUUUUCACCUACCUUUUACCACGGAUAACGGCGAGGAAGGAUAUGAAUGUUCAGAAACAAGAGAGAGUAAUUGUUUGGUUAAAACAUAGUUUGAUGAAUUCAAGAGUUUUAUUCAAAUUCUCUUCACCCAGGAAGCAAAUCACGUAAAUCAGAGUGUUUUACUUUUCUUCCCUUUUAAAUUCUAGGUAGCGGCCGCUAUUAAUAACUUACUAACAGAAUUUUAAACCUAGUCUUUGAGUUGGUCUUCUGUCAUGGAAAUGAGAACCUCUUUUCCGGACUUUGCCUAAUAAUAGAAUAAAUUUACACCUUAAGUCCGGGAAGUUGGACUUGGUGACACUUCCUUCAUAAUACAACGCUUGUUCAAAAAUUUGCACCUCAAUUAUGAUCCGUUGAGGGAAUCGGGCUGUCCUUUAUUUGUUCGGCUCCCAUAAUUGCUACGAAUCAAUUUAAACACACGUGUAUGCCUUUCGUCUGGUAGAAUUUCUGAAAUGGAUAGUUACCCUUAUGACUUGUAGGUUAUGUUGUGUGUAUAAUACAUGACGAUUUUCUAUGAAAAGAAAACAAAAACACAACGCCUGCAUUGUCAGACCCACCAAUGAGGAAUGAUGCCGAAAAUCAUCUGACAGUGAAAAAAAAACGAACAACGAAACACCCCGCAGACUCCUAUAGGAAAAAAAUAGUUUAAAUAAUUAAUUGUUGUUAAAAUUAUAUCAAUAAUUUUUUAUGUGUUUUAUUCUGACUUGAUUUGUAAAUGGGAUAAAACCUACAUGGAGUUUAAAACGUGUAAUUGAACUUGAAAUAGAGGCUUCGCUUGUUCCCGUUUAAUGGCUGGUCACAUGCUAGCAAUCGGUUUGAAUUCUCUGAAUUGUCAGACCCACCAAUGAAGAAUACAAGAUGCCGAAAAUCAUCUGACAGAGGAAAACAAACCGGGAACGACAGAACACCCCGCAGACUCCUAUAGGUAAAAAAUUAGGUUAAAUAAUUAAUUAGUUGUUAAAAUUGUAUCAAUGCUUUUUUUUAAGCUAACUUGAUUUAUAAAUGGGAUAAAACCUACAUUGAGUUUAUAACGUGAGGUUGAACUGGAAAUAGUGGCUUCGCUUGUUGUCGUUUAAUGGCUGGUCAUUGGCUAGCAAUCGGUUUAAAUUCUCUACUGGAUCUUUUUAAUCGAUCUAGGCUGAAAUAAAUAGAAAUCCCAGAUCAGCGUAGGACAAUAAAUCAGUCGAUGAAUCCGCGCCACACAUACAGGAGGAAUUGUUCGUGGCACCAUGUCCGAUGAAGACUUGUUUGUUUCAGUUUCAACUAUUUUUUCCCUAUUCCUAUUUCUUAUUUGGUAUCAACUUAGAACGUAUAUUCUCAAUGAAUCAAUUUCAAAGAGAAAAUGUUGUUCAUUCGCAAUCGCAUCCGAAUAAGUCAUAAAUUAUAAACUACAGUGUUAAAGUAGCCAAAUUUCUAAUUAACAUAAUCCGACCAGUGACCUUGGCGUUUAUUGAGAAAGAAGAUUUACGAUUCUCUGAUAAUUUAUAAUUAACCAGUCUCAUGGUAGACGUGAACGGUUCUCCAAAAGAGAAACUCUUUCUGAAGAAAAACAAAAAAACCUUCCUUUUGUUCUGCCGUGCCAUACAUUGCAUGAUCCAUGGUGCACAUGCAACAUGACUACACUAAAUGGACUAAUUGUAUUUCUAUUUUUUCAUGGGCUCAGGCAUAUAUUAUUUGACGAAAAAACAAAUGAGUUUUUUUAAAGUAGUGAAGUAACUAAGAGGAAUAUGAAACGGUUAAAACAAUUAAGAAGUGGGGAACGAAGUGACAACCUAGUUAAAAAUAACCAUGCCUAUCGAUAAACAAUCAACAUAGUUAUAAGUUACUACGUAGUUUUUACAAUAUAAUCGAUAUUAAAAUAUAUUUUUUGUUUUUCUCUCCUUGUUUAUCUAUAC